AACGAACGCUGGCGGCAGGCUUCAUACAUGCAAGUCGAACGCGAAAGCUCCUUCGGGAGCAAGUAGAGUGGCGAACGGGUGAGUAACAGGUGGAUAAUCUACCUUCCGGUGGGGGACAACGGCUGGAAACGGCCGCUAAUACCGCAUACGAUUGCCGGUUCUUCGGAACUGGCAAGGAAAGGGGCAAUUGCUCCGCCGGAUGAUGAGUCCGCCCCCCAUUAGCUUGUUGGUAGGGUAACGGCCUACCAAGGCUUCGAUGGGUAGCCGAGCUGAGAGGUUGAUCGGCCACACUGGAACUGAGACACGGUCCAGACACCUACGGGUGGCAGCAGUAGGGAAUAUUGCGCAAUGAGCGAAAGCUUGACGCAGCCAUGCCGCGUGGAUGAUGAAGGCCUUCGGGUCGUAAAGUCCUUUUCUGAGGGAAGAAUAAGCCGGGGAGUGGAAAGCCCCGGCCCUGACGGUACCUCAGGAAUAAGCAACGGCUAACUCCGUGCCAGCAGCCGCGGUAAUACGGAGGUUGCGAGCGUUGUUCGGAAUUACUGGGCGUAAAGGGAGCGCAGGCGGCUUGGUCAGUCUGAAGUGAAAGCCCGGGGCUUAACCCCGGAAGGACUUCGGAUACUGCCUGGCUUGAGUUCGUGAGAGGUGAGCGGAAUUUCAGGUGAAGCGGUGAAAUGCGUAGAUAUCUGAAGGAACAUCGGUGGCGAAAGCGGCUCACUGGCACGAAACUGACGCUGAGGCUCGAAAGCGUGGGGAGCGAACGGGAUUAGAUACCCCGGUAGUCCACGCCGUAAACGUUGUGCACUAGGUGUGAGAGGUAUCGACCCCUCUCGUGCCGGAGCUAACGCAUUAAGCGCACCGCCGGGGGAGUACGGUCGCAAGACUGAAACUCAAAGGAAUUGACGG
rnacentral:rRNA from 1 species